rnacentral:lncRNA from 11 species
CUCUCCCUCCCUCCCUCUUCCGCUCUGAUUGGCUGAGAGGCAUGCCAACAUGGCUUCUCCUCUCAGAGGGGCUACAGCUUCAUCCGAAGACAUCAGAAACAAACGAAAAAAGAGGGCUUAAAGGAGAAACGUGCCAAGAAGAAGGAGCGUCAAGCCAACCCUGACCAAGACCGCCUUCCACCUGGAAACCGAUGUCCUCAUUGCGGGAGAACAUGCAGAUCAAGAAUAGGUUUCUUCAGUCACCUGCGGACACACCCCCAACACCCUAUAACUGGAGGACCAUCAUCCUCGGCCUACAAGGGAUUGCUUAAAAAUGAAGAUCCAUCCUCCUCCAGCCAGGGGAGGAUUUUUUUUGCCAGCUGAACUAUUUAAGAACUCAAUUGAACAGUCCUUUGAGCAGGGAAGUUCCAUGUAUGAAUCAUCUUUUAGUUUGUGUAACAAGAGGCAAGAAACACUGUGCACAGGCUGGCAGAAAUGGUCGUAUUUUAAGAGAGAAAGGAAAGACCUGCAGGUCCAACUUAUGGUGGCAAUAUUUUUCCAGAGGAGAUCUGCCAUUGUCUUCUUGUGCGAUUAUUAUUUGGUCACUCAAUGGGUUUCCAUGGCUGAGCAGUGAUUUGAUCCAUAGUCUCUUGGAGUCUGGCACUGGCUUACUUGUUAUCUAUUAUUUUGUCCAAUUCCCGUUUCAAGCUUUCAUUAAAUCUUGUGGCAAUGAAUUCUGUUAGUCAUGUGCUAUAUGAGAAGUGUCCAUUCAGUGUCCAUCCAGUUAUCCCUACAGUGUCCAUAAAGUGUCCAUACAGUUAUCAUUUACUUUUAUCCAUGCUAAUGCCCAAUGAUGAGAGUUGGAGGCAAUCCAGAGAAAACGGAUAUAGAGACUGCUGUUAUAGAAUGGUAGACAAUCUCUAAGGAGAUUGUCUCUUUGCUGAGUUAUCAAUCCAUCUUAUGCGCUGCUGCCUAAGGACAACCACUUUCUCCAUCUUCUUGAGAAGUUUUUCUGACAACUUUAUUGGGGUUUAAUGACUUAAACGAUGUGCCUUUUCUUAUAAAAAUAUAUCAUAAUAAUUUAUUGUCAUGUUAAGGAUUUAUACUUAACCGUCCAUGUACAGGGUGGACCAAAAGUCACAAAGGGGUUUCAAUAUUUCAUUUUUUUAAAAAAUUGUCAAUAUCAUAGCAUCAUAUACAGUACAGUAUAUAUAGGAAAUUUAAUUACAUUACAUUACAUUGCAUGUAAAAAAAAUUCAAAAGACAUUUUCAAAAAGUUAUUAAAACAUGACUUUUGGCCCACCAUGUAUAUCAGCCUUACAGUAUUUUAUGAUUUUUUUAAUGCAUGUUUUAUAUAGUUCUAGGGUGGAUGAGAAACCAGAAGGUGAGAGACAAAAGGAUAGAAACGGAUAGAUGUGAGCAAAUGCAGUCACACACAUUUAUGUUUGAGAAUAAUUGUAAAAGGUUAUAUUAAAGCCUUAAAAUAAGUAGAUGUACAGG